AGCAGCCGCGGUAAUUCCAGCUCCAAUAGCGUAUAUUAAAGUUGUUGCAGUUAAAAGCUCGUAGUUGAAUUUCGGGGUCAGCAGGUCGGUCGUGCCACUGGUAUGUACUGGCUUUGCUGAUUCCUCCCUCUUGACGAACCGUAAUGCCAUUAAUUUGGUGUUGCGGGAAAUCAGGACUGUUACUUUGAAGAAAUUAGAGUGUUUAAAGCAGGCUUACGCUUGAAUACAUUAGCAUGGAAUAAUGAAAUAGGACGUUCGAUCCUAUUUUGUUGGUUUCUAGGAUUGACGUAAUGAUUAAUAGGGAUAGUUGGGGGCAUUAGUAUUCAAUUGUCAGAGGUGAAAUUCUUGGAUUUAUUGAAGACUAACUACUGCGAAAGCAUUUGCCAAGGAUGUUUUCAUUAAUCAAGAACGAAAGUUAGGGGAUCGAAGACGAUCAGAUACCGUCGUAGU
rnacentral:rRNA from 1 species